UAGGACGAAAACAACGCGUGUUAAGGAAAAUAAUUAAUAAAAAGUGCGAUUAAAUGAUAAAUAAAGCUUGGAUAAAGGUUACAAGUCAGCGGAUAUAGAGGGAGACUAAAGCGGAGAUUACCGCUGUGUUUUUAUUCCCGUUGAUUAGUGUUUGAAAAUUAAAAAUAAGCUGUGUUAAAAAUAAGCUUAAAAACAUAACUCUAAUAACACAUCUUCAGGUAAUAAGUGCGCUGCCAACUGAUCAUCAAAGCCUUCACAGCUGAUUGGAAAUGUGGUGAAUUGCUGUGUUUAAAAAAUUAGUAUGCCAACAAGAACUUCGAAAACUGCAUUACAACACUUUUAUGAAGAGCAAAGAUACAGAGAUGCAGACACAGUGUGACUGUGUCGCCGCUACUCGUUUCUGUGGCAUUGUUUCCUGUCAACUGGCUGUCGCCUUGGCUUGCCUGUCAAAAUGCCAAGACCCCCCACCCCACUCUGGGAAAAGAGAAGACCAGACCCCAGAACAGAUCCACAAAAUGGGACGACACCACUCUCCGCUUUUCGUUUUAC